rnacentral:tRNA from 1 species
GCGGGCGUCGCGUAGAGGUCAAUCGCGCCAGGUCGAGGGCCUGGUGCUCAGUGCUUCGCGGGUCCGAAUCCCGCCGCCCGUA